rfam:Helicobacter pylori 26695, complete genome.
CUGUAGGGAUUUGUUGGGGUGAAAUGAAGUGGAUGUGUGUGUCAAUACCACCAGCAGUUACGAUCAAACCUUCACCGGCUAAGGCUUCAGUAGCAGGACCUACGCUAAGAUUGUUUUUAACGCCAUCUUGCAUGUCUUUGUUACCGCCUUUACCAAUGCCAGCGAUUUUGCCAUCUUUAAUACCAAUAUCCGCUUUAUAAAUACCGGUGUAAUCCACGAUUAAAGCGUUAGUGAUGAUUAGAUCCAAUUCUUCUUUGCUAGGGUUGUUGGAUUGGCUCAUGCCUUCUCUCAG